UUUCCGUAGGUGAACCUGCGGAAGGAUCAUUACUGAAGUCGCUGAGGGGUUCGCUGCUGGCUCUCCGGAGCAUGUGCACGCCUCUCACACUUUAUUCAACCACCUGUGCAUCUCCUGUAGUCUCUCAGACGCCUUUCAAUCUUCGGAUUGGUGGGGACUUGUUGCGCCUCGAAAGAGGAGCUUCAGUCCAAUGUCUGCGGGGCUACGUCUACACAUACACUGUAACAAUCACCAGAAUGCUUCACGGUCGUUUACGACCUUAAAAAUAAAAUACAACUUUCAACAACGGAUCUCUUGGCUCUCGCAUCGAUGAAGAACGCAGC
rnacentral:misc_RNA from 1 species